rnacentral:misc_RNA from 1 species
AGCAGCCGCGGUAAUUCCAGCUCCAAUAGCGUAUAUUAAAGUUGUUGCAGUUAAAAAGCUCGUAGUUGAAUUUCGGGAUCAAUAUGUUGGUCGUGCCUCGGUACGUACUAGCAUAUUGGUUUCUCCUUUCUGAAGAACCAUGAUGUCAUUUAUUUGGUGUCGUGGGGAAUCAGGACUGUUACUUUGAAAAAAUUAGAGUGUUUAAAGCAAGCUAACGCUUGAAUACAUUAGCAUGGAAUAAUGAAAUAGGACGUUCGAUCCUAUUUUGUUGGUUUCUAGGAUUGACGUAAUGAUUAAUAGGGAUAGUUGGGGGCAUUAGUAUUCAAUUGUCAGAGGUGAAAUUCUUGGAUUAUUGGAAGACUAACUACUGCGAAAGCAUUUGCCAAGGAUGUUUUCAUUAAUCAAGAACGAAAGUUAGGGGGAUCAAGACGAUCAGAUACCGUCGUAGUCUUAACCAUAAACUAUGCCGACUAGGGAUCGGAUGAUGUUAAUUUUUUAAUGACUCAUUCGGCGCCUUACG